AGUUGGGUCAACCCAUUUUCCCUUGGUAUUUAAAGAAAAUGAAACCCUAGAAGCCUCAUUUUUUUUCCCCUCAUUUCAGAUUUUAGAGAGAGGAAAAAGAGAGAGAAAUUUAGAGAGAAGAAGGAGAAAAUCAACCAAUUUUAAGGCCCCGAAUCCUAAAGCUCGUGAAGGAUAAAGUGUAGUACGAGUUGUGGUCGUCAUUUUAAGCUAAAGAUCGGGCUUGGGAGUGUUGAUUUCGUGGUGACUACCCAAAAGAUUGAAGUUGAAGGGGGUGAAGGACAUUGUGAUACGCUCAAAAGCGGAAGGUUAAGGUACGGAUUUACAGGACGACGCUUCUGAUCAUUAGGAUUUGCUCGUGCUAGCUUAUUGGUGAGCCCCAUUUCAUUCGGGGUUUUAAGCAUUGUCUUCUCUAUGUAGUUUUGCAUGUAAAGGUAUGCUGGGGGCCUUGUCCCAGUACGUAUGACUUCCAGUCCAAACUCAAAAUAGAGGUUUCAUAGACUAGACAAAUCAGUUAUGUCAUGAUAGACAUUUGAAGUCAUAUGGACAUUUGGGCACACUCAUGUUUAAACAAGUACUUUAUUAUGUAAUAUGACCUAUUAUGUUGUACAAAGGUUCAUCAUGCAUUCACGUCAUAUUCCGCUUAUAAUAUGAAAUCAUGUUAGUUCAGCAAGUCAUGUGGUUCGCUCGGUCACAU